AGUGAACGCUGGCGGCGUGCUUAACGCAUGCAAGUCGAACGGAGAAGGAGAGGUUCGCCUUUCUUUCUUAGUGGCGCACGGGUGAGUAAUGUAUAGCUAACCUGCCCCUUGGUGGGGGACAACAGAUGGAAACGUCUGCUAAUACCCCAUACUCCUUCUUACUCUAAGGUAAGUCGGGAAAACUCCGGCGCCAAAGGAUGGGGCUGUAUCCUAUCAGCUCGUUGGUGAGGUAAUGGCUCACCAAGGCAAUGACGGGUAGCUGGUCUGAGAGGAUGUUCAGCCACACUGGAACUGAGACACGGUCCAGACUCCUACGGGAGGCAGCAUGCUGAGACUCCAAGGCACACA
rnacentral:rRNA from 1 species